rnacentral:lncRNA from 1 species
GUUAAUAAAUUUGUUGAUAUAUUGUGAAUUAUGAUUUUCUUUUCAAAAUACUUUUUUGUCUAAUUUUAAAGUCAUCUUUAUCUUUGAUCAGUCACAAAUCACUAUUUUUUUUAUAAAUUUUAACUUUAAAUGGUAAAAACUUUAUUCAAAGUGUUUACUAAUAGAUAAAAAUGUUUUUGAUAAUUGUCUGACAAAAUCUAGUUGGUAAUGUUUUGUAGGAGAUUUUUUUUUCUUUUUCUUCCUCCCUCCUUCUCUUUCGUUGUCGUGUUUAUUGUUGUUGUCAUUGUAUUUAUGGUCACUGUUAAUUUUGAUUUCUC